rnacentral:rRNA from 1 species
CCUACGGGAGGCAGCAGUGGGGAAUAUUGGGCAAUGGACGCAAGUCUGACCCAGCAACGCCGCGUGAAGGAUGAAGGCUUUCGGGUUGUAAACUUCUUUUAAGGGGGAAGAGCAGAAGACGGUACCGCUUGAAUAAGCAACGGCUAACUACGUGCCAGCAGCCGCGGUAAUACGUAGGUGGCAAGCGUUGUACGGAUUUACUGGGUGGAAAGGGCGUGCAGCCGGAGAGAAAAGUCAGAUGGGAAAUCCACGGGCUCAACCCGGGAACUGCAUUGGAAACUGUUUCCCUUGCGUGUCGGAGAGUUAAUCGUCAUUCCUUUUGUAGCGGUGACAUUCGUCGCUCUUAG